rnacentral:rRNA from 1 species
CCUACGUGUGGCAGCAGUGGGGAAUAUUGCGCAAUGGGCGAAAGCCGGACGCAGCGACGCCGCGGGAGGGAUGAAGGUCUUCGGAUCGUAAACCUCUGUCAGCAGGGAAGAACGGUCACAGUGCUAAUCAGCAGUGAAUUGACGGUACCUGCAAAGGAAGCACAGGCUACCUCAGUGCCAGCAGCCGCGGUAAUACGGAGGGUGCGAGCGUUAAUCGGAAUUAAUGGGCGUAAAGCGCUCGUAGGCGGUAUGUCAAGUCAAGGGUGAAAUCCCCGCGCUCAACGUGGGAACUGCCUUUGAAACUGGCAAACUGGAGUGUGUGAGCGGAUAGUGGAAUUCCAGGUGUAGGAGUGAAAUCCGUAGAUAUCGUGAGGAACAUCAGUGGCGAAGGCGACUAUCUGGCACAUAACUGACGCUGAGGAGCGAAAGCGUGGGUAGCAAACAGGAUUAGAUACCCCAGUAGUC